rfam:Triticum urartu cultivar G1812 contig631078, whole genome shotgun sequence.
CUUCUACUCCCUCCGUUUCGAAUUACUUGUCUUGGAUUUGUCUAGAUACGGACUUCCGUAUCUAGACAAAUUUAAGACAAGUAAUUCGGAACCGAGGAAGUAUUUC